AUGGAUCAUGAUGUUUUACAGACACGAUUUACCGACGGUUUUUUAAUUUUUUUGUAUUUGUCUAGAGACAGAAGCGCCUACUUAAAUAUAUUGCAAAAUGAAUGGUCUAAGACAAAAAGCGUUUAAUCACAAUGGUAAAAUGUUGAGGCCUCUCACUCAGCCACGGACAAUUGUAUUUCAUUUUAAACGAGAAAAAAUAUGUUGAAAAAUGGAAAAACCCAAUUAUUCCGACAUCAGUUUUUGUUCCUAUUCAAGUGCUCGCAAGUGCACGUACAUCUGUAUGUAUAUAACAAGCGAAAUUAACAGUUAUUCGGGGACGCAAAGAAAGGGUUGCCAUCAAAUAAUGCAAGAUAUACCUUAAGUAUGAAAUAUUUUCAUUGACUUAUGGUAUAUUUACAUUCCCAUACAUGGGAGCAAAUGUACAUACAUAUGUUACUUGUGCAUUUAUGAGUAGAUAUUUGUAUAGUUUUAUAAUAAAAGAUUUAGCAUAAAAGAUAAAGAAUAUGUUCAGCAACCACGGAUUAAUCGUACCUAUGCUGCUAUGUGAAUCUGUACGUAUUAAAAAAAUUGUUGAAUAAUAUAUAUAUAUUCAUCUGUAAAAAGGUGCAAAAUUUAAUCCCAAACGAUAGUAUAGUUUAAGAAGAAUUUAUUUUUCAAUUUAAAUAUUAACAAAUACACACCAAUAAUAAUUGGAAGUGAUGUGGUUUUCUUAAUCUGCGGCUAUGCGCAAUAUAUGCAUUUAUCUAAAUACAAUUAAAAUCCCGCAUAAAUUAUUUGCUUUUUGAAACUACUACACAUGAAAAAAUGCAUGUGAAUCAUGGUGCACCCUCAUUUCGCUCAUCAUGGCUUGCUUUGUCUUCAUCUGAAAUCAGUCGGGAAAUUUCGUGCUUCAACAGACAAAAUAACUAAAACUGUUAAAUAAAUAAGGAAUUGAUUAAUAAAAACGCAAAUGUUGGUAAAAUUGAAAAGUGGGAAUGUGAUAAAACUCAUUGAAAUAAACACAGUUACCAGAGCGAAAGAUGAGCUUGAUUUCAUUUGUUCAAAAUUCGGCAUUGCGUACAAUAUCACAAUAAAAUUUCUGGACCGGGAUAAAGUUCCAAUAGAGGAAGGCCAAAUAGUAUCUACAAUUAAGCAGUUUGGAAGUUGCUCCUGUUUUUUGCUAGAAAUUUUAGACAAAGAAAAUCAUUUCAAUGACAAGGCAAUAAGCUCUAGUUUUGAAGCUAUCGGAAAUGAAGCAUUAUUGGACUUUCUUAAGGAAGGUGAUGGUGCUCAUAUACUGGAGAAAUAAAACCAAACAAAAACAUUAAGUGAUGCCUCACGCCGAAUAUUGGUGCGUGAAGCUGUAAACUUUCUGCGCAAAGUUAUCCAUUUCGGCAACAAAAAAAAGCUCUUGCAAAAGCCAUUAUCGCCAAUUUUCCAGUUUACAAAUGCAGCGCAAGCGAGAUAGGAGGAAUUGAUCUCUUUUACAAUCCCGGGGAAAAUUCAGGAUACCUGGUUUCAAAGCUAAAAAAUUUGAAUAGAAAAAGGCGCACGAAUCUUAGCCAGAGUUCAAGUGAAUCAAAAAAAAAGGCUUUUCAUUUUAGCUUUUUGUACAGGACUGAAGUUCCCCUAAAGGUUGUUGCCUCAUAAUACAUUUUCCACUAAUUUUCUUCGAUAUUCAGUCGCGUUUGCCAAAUUUAUGGCACGGAGUAAUUUCAUUGUUAAAAAUUAUUAAUAUAGUCAUGUCUCCAAUUAUUCAUAAAAAGUAUAUUGAAGUAUUAAAAGAUAACAUAAAAGAUCAUCUUAAAUGUAUUAUACAAUAAUAAAUUAAAUUUGUUACCUAAA